CGGACGGGUGAGUAAUGCUUGGGAACAUGCCUUGAGGUGGGGGACAACAGUUGGAAACGACUGCUAAUACCGCAUAAUGUCUACGGACCAAAGAGGGGGAUCUUCGGACCUCUUGCCUUUAGAUUGGCCCAAGUGAGAUUAGCUAGAUGGUGGGGUAAAGGCCUACCAUGGCGACGAUCUCUAGCUGGUUUGAGAGGAUGAUCAGCCACACUGGGACUGAGACACGGCCCAG
rnacentral:rRNA from 1 species